rnacentral:lncRNA from 1 species
CUUUUCCCAAAUCCACUCCAAGACAACAAGCCUUAUUACAAACACCCACUUCAAAUUUUCCAAGUCUUCAACUACAUAUUUCUAUGAUUUUAUGGGGUUUUAAUGAGGGAAAAACCCUGAAAAAAUCAGCGGGUGACGAUUAGGGAACGGGAGCAGAUGGCGCAGAAGUACUUGGUCUUGGUUUUGCGGGAGACAGGGACACAACACACAUGUAAAUUGCAGUCAAGAUGCGUUGCAACAACAGGGCCUCCACAGCAAGGGCACACAGCCCCGGCUCCUUCUCUUUUGAUCACCUUUUCUCUCAUAUCAAACACUUGGAAUAUACUCAUGUUUCUCCUCCUGCUGCUACUGCUGCUUCUGCUUCUUUGUUUUUCCACCGCUUGGUUUCUGUCUUUUUCUGGGAUUUUCUUGGAUGGUGUUUGGGAUUGUUUCGGGGUUUCAUUUGGUGGGUUUGGCUCCCUUCCCUAUUUAUAGCUCUUUUAGAAGGCAGAAAAGUCGAGGUAAUUCAAUGCGAAUGCCUGCUGCUGUGUUUUUCUGAGAUGGCUCCUGGAAAUCGAGAGGAAAGGGGCGACUGUCAGAUGGGAAAAGGACAAGAUGAAUGUUGUUCAGUUGGAGAAAGUUGGAUUGGACCAGCAUGAAGCCCACUGGGCUUGUUAGGCUGGGCCCAACACUACGAACUUGACGCGGACAAGAUAGUUUUAUUGCGGUGCCGACUAACCUAAUUAAAAUACAUAGAUCUAUAAUUGAAGAUACUCUUUUUUUUUUUUUUAACUUCGAAUUUCUAAACUAUUGAUUUCCGUAAUUGAAAAUAAUCAAUUAGGUUUACGACAAAAACUUAGAAAUCGAUAGACCUCAAUAAAAUCUUAAAAAGAUUAACGAUAAGAAGUGAUGAGUUUAAUAGUUUUUUGUAUAAAAUUAUUGACUCUAGAAUAUAAUAAUAUGAAUAAGACAUGAUUAUGUUCGGCUUUUUUUUUUUUCCAAAAGAAAACAUAAGUUACUUAUGGUAAGAUAUUUAAAUAAUGUUUUACCAUUUUUAUCAAGAGAGCCUAGAAAUGAAAAAUAAUUUAAAAUAAAUUCUUUCCUUUUCUUUAUAAUAUUCAAAUAUAAUAAUUUUUUUCUUUUUUUUUUUGGUACUUUCUAACAUCAAACAUAUUAAGGAAAAUAACUUUCUUGUAUUUGGAUUUCAUUAAAAAAAUUAUUAUUUUUAUUUAGUUGCUUUUGAAAUGGUUAAGGAAACAAUUGAAUUUAAGUAGUCACAAAAUUAUUUCUAAAAUUAUAUACCUUAUAUUCACGUCAAAAUCAUCUUUUUUCUUUUCAGUGUUUAUAUUAAAAUAUCAAAUGAUUUUGCAUUGCAAUUAUUCACAUCAAAAAUAUAAAUUAAUACAUGUUUCUACUAAAAUCUCAUUUUAAAAUGAUAAUUUAUAUACGUAAAAUCAUUUUUCAAAAAAUACGAUAUGAGAAAUAUUGCAUUUUUAUAAACAUUUUAUAAAAUAUUCGUUUCUUAAGAUUAUGUUUGAUUCCUUGGAAAAUAGUAAGAAAAGAAAAAUGAAAUAUUAAAAAAAAUGAUUUUCUUACAUAUGUUUUUACUAUGAAAAAUUCGAAAGAAAAUUAUAUAUAAUUAAAAUUAUUAAAAAUUUUAUAUAUUUUUAAAUAAUUUAAUCAAUAUAUAAAAGAGUUAAAUUAGUAAAAAAAAAUUAAUACAUAAAAAUAAUUUAUUAAUUUUAGAUCUAUUUUUUAUUUUAUUUUAUUUUCUUCCCCUGUAUAUUUUUUUUUUUCAAAAUUUUCUGGAAUAUAACCUAAAAAUGAUAUUAAAAUAAAAAAAUCCUCCACUAUUCCCCUAAUCCGACAAGAUUGAAUGGAAUCAGAGGAAUACAACUACAAAGAUUUUCCAUGGAAUCCGAGGAAUUUUCCAUGGCCGGUCAAUUUUCAUUGCUGUUAAUUUACCUGGAAAUUUGACAGCCAUGAGAAUCCCGUCCGGAGAAAAUAACGUUGUGGGCACGUGUGAAACUUUUGCUUGUCCAAGGUGCCUUGGAAUUAGUCAAGGAAAAAGACAAAUUUCAUCCGCGCCAGGAUAUGAACUUCCUGGAAAUUUUCCCACUUCCAAUCAAAUCAGUUUCCGCGUUGACGGAAAGUGGGUCAAAUGCGUGUCAAUGAAUUUCAUUUGAAAAAUUCGUUCCAGAUCUCAAUCAUUAUUAUAUUUGAAUUGUAUAAAUGAUUUGAAUUGUUUUUUGAAAUUGGAAUUAAAAUAAAAUAAAAAAUAAAAAUUCAUGCUCAAAUCCCAAUCACCCUAAGAUGAGAUCUUGUGACCCGAAAGGAUAACAGAAUUAGGUUACGGAUGACUAAGUUAGCAUUUAGUAAAUCAACUUAAUAACUUAAAGUAAUUUAGUAAUUUAAUAAUUUAAUUUAAAUUAUUAAAUAAAUUAAAUAUAUUUGAUAAAAUAACUUAAUGAUAUAAUUUAAAAUUAAAAAUAAUUUUAAAUAAUAGAUAAAAACAAUUAAUUUAUUCUUAAGUCAAUAUAUUUAGAUUAUCCUUUUACUAUCAUUUACCCUACUUAUUUUUAUGAUCUUUUUUACUACUUCAUAACCUUUACUAUUACUCAAUCUCUUUUAGCAUAAUUAUAAUUUACGAAGAUAAACAUGUCAAUUUUAUUAUUUAUGAUAAGUUUUAAGUUAAUUUUAUUAAACAAGUCGAAUACUUAAAGUAAAAAUUAAGUAAUAAAUUUUAACUUAAUAAUUUAAAUAUAAUUUAACUUAAAAUUAACUUAAGUCAUUAAGUAAUAAAUAUUAAGUUUUACUAAACACCUCCUAAACUUAGAUUGAUCCGUAUUCUUGACUAGACCUUUGAGCUUUAAGUCAAUUGUAUGUGGGAUCUAAGGGGUUAUUUGGAGCUAAAAUAACCGUCAAAUUAUAAAAAUGACCUCUUCUUUUUAAUUAUAUUGAGAAAUAACCCAAAGUGAAAAUACUUUGGGUUAUUUUAUUAUUAUAAAUUUAACAAAAAAAAAAAAAAAAACACUUGUUAAUUAAAAUAUUUAUCUAGACUUUAAUGUUAGAUAUCAAGACUCCAUGAUCUCACCUUCACAUUUUAGAAGUUUAAAUGAAACCAAAACAAAAUCUAAACCAAAAAAAUUUACAAGAACAACCGCAAAACAACCCCAAGCAAAAUCCCACUACAAAAAGCCUUCAAAAUCCCUGUAGAAAACAUUUGCAAAAAAAAAAAACCCUAAUAAAAAAUAAUUGUAAAAAGUCCCAAGUAAAAAAUAUAUAUAUAAUAAAAAAUAAAAAAUAAAAACCCCCGACCAAAAUCCCAUUGCAAAUAAUCCCUCAACCGUAAUCUCGCUAAAAACCUUAACCAAAAACAAUAAAAAAAAAAAAAUAGCUGCAAAAAACCACAAAAACCUUAACCAAAAAUAAAGAGAAAGAUGAAGAAUUUUGAAGAAGAGAAAAAGAUGAGAAAGUUGUGGUUAAUGUUCAUUUGGUUGAUAUUGGUUAUGAUUCCCCUCCAAAAUUCAUUAGAAGAAGGGAGAGGGCAUGAAGAAAACGAGAGGCAAGUGCCAUUUUUAAGGAAAUAAAAAGGAUAAUAAUGUCCAAAAUAGUCAUUUCCUUAAAGAAAAAAUUAAGAGAAAUCAUUCUUCCAAUUUCAAUGUCUUUUCUCCAAAUAUCUCAAAUUUAAAAGAAAUAAUAUAUAAUUAAUUAAUUAUUUUACUUUAAAAUUUUAUUUAAUUGAUUAUUAAAAAUAUCAUAAUAAUCUUCAUAAUAAGUCUUUCUUUUCGUGGAUAUUUUCUAUUCAAAUUAAUUUUUUUAAUUAAUUUUUCUUUCAUGUGUAUUUUCUAUUCAAAUUUUCAAUAUUUCCGUAAAAUUCAACCAUUAGUAUUUUCACAAUUUAUGGUAUUUAAUCAUUAUUACCAUGAAAAUAAGAAAAUAAAAAAUGAGAAAUCUUUUCCUCAAACACAACCACUACAUAAUUCUAAUUAAAGAAAAAAAAAACAAGCAAACAAUUUAUUUACUCUAAAUAUCAAUAGUUAAAACUUAUGGUUAGAAAAGUCUCACUGUCCUCCUCAUGGUCGUAAAAAAAUUGGAAGGAAAAUAUGAAAAAUAAAAAAAGGAAAAUAGGAAAUAAAUUUAUUUUUUAAAUAAUUUAAAAACAUAUAAAUUUUUAACUAAUUUUAAUUAUAUUUAAUUUUUUUUAUUAUAUUUUCUAUAAUGAAAUAAAAAAAUAACACUAUAUUUAAUUCCUAAAAAAAUUGUGAGAAAAUUAAAUAAAAAAUAAAUUUAAAAUUAAUAAAUUAUUUUUAUAUGGUACUUCAAAUAUUUUCACUUCUUUUAACCCUUCAAAAUAAUGAUUAAAUAAUUUAAAAAUAUAUAAAUUUUAAUUAAUUUAAUUAUAUUUCAUUUUCUUUCGUAUUUUUCAUAAUAUAACCAAAUAUGAAAUUUUAUUUUAUUUUAUUUUUUAACAUUUCUUUUCUUAAUACUUUCGAAACUAAACAUAAUAUUAACAUUUUUUUCCUUUAUUAAUAUUUUCAGACAACCAAAUUCAGCAUAAAGCAAUUUCAAAAACUCAGCACAACCAACCAUCAAACGGACACAAGCAUCUCUCCUUAUAGGACCGACUGCAGAAUCUUCCUCUACUAAAUGGUUGGAAGAACCAACUGAGACAAUGAACGAAAAUUCAGUAGUAAGUAGACACAUACUAAUGGUUCCAUUGUUUUUCCCGGAAAAUUAGAUUAUAAUAUAGGAACUGAAAUUCAGUAGGUAAAGUAGAUGCAGACACAUGACCAAAAUAUUUGUCUUUUAUUUUGUGCUAUACUAACCUCCCUCUUUCCUCAGAAUCCCCAAGUUUUCCUAGAAGACUCAUGACCCCAAACAUAAUACCGAGAAAGAUACACAUACAGAACCAAAACCUAAUCCCCAAGUUUUCCAGGAAAAUUUGUUGACCCAAACAUGCUCCUCAGAAUCCCCAAGUUUCUCUAGAAAAUUCAUUGAUCCAAACAUACUGAGAAAGAUACAGAAGGAGCACAAAAACUUAAUCCCCAAGUUUUCUUACAAUCCACUCCAGUCUCUGUUUAUGUAACUGCUUGAUCACCAAGUAAAUCUUCAAAACUUCUCUGAUUUCCACAAUUCUACCAGAAUUUCUUGAAAACCCCUCUAUGAAUAUAGAAUGCAGAAGGAAUUGACUAGAGACAUUGUGGUUUAGUUGAUAUGCAAAAUAGCAUAGUUUAUUGGGAGCAGACAGGAAACUAUAUCAAACUCAGGAAAGCAUAUAUUGAUUGAAGGAUUUUGAGAUCUCAUUAUUAACAUUUCCUGAUACAAUCACAACAAACAUUUUUCAGAUAUAAGAUCAUAGUUGGGCUACUGGCAACACAGAGAAGCACCCGGUCUGUUAAAAUGUUUAGUAAUUCAUCAACUAUAUAAAGAAAAGAAUGGGCAUAAACAAUAGUGCUUACGCGUCAAAAAACUGUGGAUCAUGGAGAUGGUCCUGUCGGAUUGUGGGCCUCAAUAUCUACAUGCCGAAUGCCAGGAACAAGCUCCUGGAUCUCCUUUUCUAGCCUGUCAACUUCACUACCCAGAGCUGUAACCACUUCCUCACCUGCCAUGAGAACUCAAGUGAGUUAUUUUCAUGUUGUUGGUAGACUUCAGUGUAAAUGUUAUUUGUUAGUUUAUUAAAGUGCAUACCAUAGUUUGACAUCAUCCGCAGCAGUGCAGAAUCGUCCUCCUCCUUUGCAGCUUCCCGAAACUGAAUAUCAUUAAUCCUGUUGGUUAGAAACCCAUCCUACAGAGUCCAAACCACACAAACAAUGUCCCUAAUGAUUUUGUACAGGCAGGCCCAACCUGCUGGAGCAAGCCAUCAAGAUGGCCUCCAUUUUGAUCAAAACCCAACAAAAAAUGAGUUGUCCUCCGGAUGUGAUGAACAGAAAGGACCUUUUCAUUUAUUUAUCCUUUUUUUUAGAGCAAGGGAUUAGAACAAAAUUUGUACUUGCAGGGCACAUGCUUCCGAAGCAAUUCCCACAUAAUCCACAGUGAGACUAGAUUCUCUCAUGUAUUUGCAUGGAUAAUUGGUAAUAUAGAUUUCUAUUUAAGAAAUGGGUAAGAUAAAUAUGCAUUCACCCUUCUCAAUCUUAUCCCAACCCAAAUCCCAGAAGCAAAAUAAGAUAGAGAGUAACAGGUCCAUAUUGACUGGAUGACAUUUAUAUACAAGCUUAAAACAAUACAAUUUAGGAGACAUGUAACAUUCAUUUCAGAACAUCUAGGGAUCGCAGGGACUUCUAAUUGUUUGAAAUAUUGCAGAACUAAAAGCACCUACAUGUGUGUGAUGCCAUGUAACCUCAGUUUCCUGACCACCCUUUUCAAGGAAACACUUGUAUUUGUAAAAAACUGACAGCAUUCACCCAUGCAAGAAAAAACGGCCGACAGUACCAAAUUUACUGACUGUUAUAUGAAAAAGAAAUGUGGAAUGUCAAGUACCUUGACAAGGGUACUUACAUGUGACACAAUUGAAAAGCAGUUACAGCUUCCCCAAGAAAAUUUAUAAAAAUAAAAAUAACACCAGUUGGUAAAAACUAACCUGUCUGGCCCAUGUUUCACGUCCUGUCCUUUUCAGAUAAUUUUGCACCACCACCACGCCAUUGAAAUCUGUUGCAUACAACUUGCCACCAUCAACACACUGAGAUCCAAAUAGUGCUAAUUUAAAGUCUAAUUGAGAGUUUAUUCUUAAAUGGUUAGAAGCAUUUUCUAUUGCUUGAACAAUCAUCCAUAGCAAAAUUUGGUAUCAGACAAAGUUGCAGAAAUGACAUUUGAAAAUCUAGAGAAUCACUUCAACCGAUUCUACAAUUAACACAUGGUAGUUGUUUCUACUAAAUAUCUUUUUUUUGUUAUAUAACAUAUUCUCAAAAACAUUAUCAAAAGCAUUUUUGGUUUAUAUCUAAACACUAAUUUGAUUCUCUUUGGAAAACCAAUUGGCUGCUAGUGAGAUAAUGUUAAACCUCUUUCUAUAGUUUGAAUAAUACUAAUCAACCUCAAGUUAGCACAAUUCAGAAGCAAACACCAAAUUCUGAGCCAAUACCAUCUUAGGCUUGGUUCCUAGUCAACCACAAACAACAAGCCAACAUAACCUCAGCUUACUUAUUGAGCUAACACAAAAUCCUAAAGCCAAUACAAUCUUAGGUUUACUUCAUGAGCAGAACACCAAAUCUUGAGCCAAACAAUCUCAACCUUACUUCUUAGGUCAUUAUUUCCUCAGGAGCGGCAAUCUUGGCUCUAGCACCACUUGUUAAGACUAAUGCAUUGGUUUUUUACAUAUGAAAAACCGAUUCAUAGUCAUUAAGGUCAAGCUCAACCUCUUUAUAUGGUUUGAACCACACAACAUUAGCAUCAAGCUAACACAAUCUUGGUACCAACGCCAUUGGAAUCAUAUAAAAAACUUUAGCUUGAUCUCAUUGGUAGUUAAUUGGUCUUCGGCCAGUUUGAACCGCACAACAUUAGCAUCAAGCUAACACAAUUUUGAUACCAACACCUUUGGAAUCAUAUGAAAAAGCUUAGCUUGACCUCAAUGGUAGAUAAUUGAUCUGUGGCUAACACUGCUCGAAACAUAUGAAAAGGUUGAAUUGACAUCAUUUGUAGUCACUUGAUUUUCAGAUAAGGUGGCUAAUAUCUUGAUUCUAACAAUAAGAUGCAUAAUAGUGCAUGGUAAACCAAAGCACAAAAUGAAAAUAUAUCAUCAAUGAUGUAUGCAUAUGGGUGUGGAGAUGUUAGAUAUCCUCAUAGAGAUAUUGACCUAUAGAUAACCAAACCACAUAAAAAUCUGAAAAAUAAGUUACUGUGGCAAAGGUUACCUAUUUCUGCCUUAAACCUAAAGAACCCAGGUCCAAUCACCUCACUUUUACAAUCAUAUAGAGCAUCAACUACCUACAAAAAAAAUAAAUAAAUAGAGUCGUACCCGUCAAACUGGGACAAAUAUGUAUAACAGUAGCUAAUUGGGAUAGAGUUAUUCAGUGUAGAAAACAAUACCGGAUCAUUUUUCAACAAAUUAAGAACCUUUUCCAUAUCAUGAGCAUCAAUUGCUCUACCAAUCAAUGCAUGCCGAUUCCUCUGGAUGAGAAAUAUAGCUACCUGAAUAAAAAGUUCAACUCAAACACAUCACUUUAAACCAUGCUAAUAAGUCAUACGUUUUGUUCUUAUAGAACAUAAAUAACAUAUUCUCAUACUAAUUAACCUUGAUAGAUAUCUAUAGCUCUUUCAAUGUCUCCAAACACUUUGAACACUUCGUAGUUGUAAGUUUUACAAAUAGCCCUUUGAUUAAACCCUGAUCUGAACUUUCGCAGCCAUAUCAACAACUUCCCUCAUCAACUAGAAGUUGGGUCAUGCUACCGAUUCUCCAUCAAUAUACCACUUGUCUCUUUUUCUUUAGGUCUCUAUCCUCCAAAUGCCAGUGGCAAGUUUGUGUUAAGGUAAAACACAAUAAAAGCCAAUGGUACAUUUGGAAAAUGAUACGGCCAUACUUUUGUAAAGGAAUUGAUUACCUUUAGGGUAGUGUAUACAAUUGCAGGCAUUUGCAUCUAUUUCACUUGAUGGGAAUAUUUUAGUGCUAUAUAAAUUUUUAGGUAAGAAAAAAAUGGAAGGUAAAUACUACUUACCAUUCCAAGUAAAUUACCAACCACAAUUGAACCUAUUGGGUCAUAAAUUGGAUUUCCAGUCGUAUUUACAGCAACUAGUGAUGCUCCUGCAAUAAUAAGACCAGUAACUGCAGCACCAUCCUGCUUAUUUAAAGUCAUAUGUUAAGAGAAAGACAACAACAGAACAAGCAAUAAGAUAAAAUGAAUUGCUUAAAGAGCAGAAAACCACUAGCUUGCCAAACUAUAGUAAGCACCAAGCACCCGCAACAAUAAUAUGCAUAAUCAGCAUACAUAUAUUCACACAAUAAAGAAAAGGACAAAAAUUUGACAAAAAAAAAGAAGAAAAAUCGACUAGUCAAAAAGGAGAGUGCCUUGAACUUCUGAGAGUUUUCAAAAGCAGAAAAAGAGGCCAAACAGGUGAUCUUUUGUUCAGAAUCCUGAUGUUAAGAAAAGUUGCCAAAUUACAUGAGCACCACAAACUUCAUGAUAGCACAUUUUCCCAACUUAAGCUGGAAAUGGAUUCUAGAUAAUGAAGUUCCAUGCAUACAACAACUUUCUCAGCACUAGAAUUGUCUUCAAUGCUUCAAGCAUCCUCAAAGGUAACAUCUUGAUCUUGUACAAAUCCAUAGCACAAGAAUAUGAUAAGAGUACAUGAUAAAUGGGUCGAUCCUCAAAUGAUAAUGAGGUAUUGAAUGGUGUAGCUUCUAAUGGGGGUUAUCACAUAUUAGAGGCAGGAACUGGGAACGGAAAAGCAAUCAAUUUUGGGGAAGAUUCUUUUAUAUAAAUGUUAGGAGGAUUUACACAAAUCUUUACCACCAUGGAUAAGUAGGUGGAGUGUGAUGUUAUUUUGAUAUGCCACAAAGUUGACAGAAAUUUCCAAGAUUUGGAGUCAAAAAAGUAGCUCAAAUCCUUUUUCCUGUCCCUAGAUCAAUAUGUAACAUUGCUCCUUCCCCAAGGAGCUACAUUAGAACUUUUCAGUUUCAUCAAAAGUGGCUUUCAUCAGUUUAGUAACUCUUAGAAGAAACAGGUGGUGAUUGGUGGAUAUUUUCUUUACUCCAAAAUGCUAUGUGAGAUAACUCUGAAAUGUUGUGCUUUUUUAGUCUCAAUUGGAGGUGGGCAGUAGGCUAUUAUUUGCUCCUCAAACUGUUGGCUCUCCGUGACUACUUGGUUCACAUUUUAUUUAUGGAUUCAGGCUCUAUUGGGUUAUGCCCAACUAUAUAACAGGUUUUGCUAAUGGGUGUGGCCAUGCAACAUGAAAGAUAACCAUUUCUGCGGUUCUACAAUUGAUGUGGAAGAAAAGAAGUAAAAUAUUAUUAGUAGGAUGAAAGAGAAGCUAAGGAUUGAGCAUCUUGCAUUAUCAUUUGCGGAAGAACCCUAAUUAUUCAUCCUGUAAAGUUCCAAUGAUUCUACAUCCUAUGGUGUCAAGUCCCUUUUUCUGCAAACUAUAUUUAUAAUAUAAAAAAUUAUUAUUAGAAAGAAACAGUUUGUGCUCUUGAACUUGGAAAUCUGAGCAAGAAAGCUAUUACCUUGAUCUCUAGAAAAUUUUUCAUGUUACAUUCACCAUUAGAUACUUAUUAUAGCUUUCCCUGUACUACAAACCAUUUUUAGAAAUGAAAAAGAGAACUUGGAGUCUCACAAGCUUGUGAGCAAGGAGCAUACAUUCCAAAUCCAAGAUCAAAGCUUCACUUGGUAAGGAAUGUUGCAACCAGAUUUAAAUCCUAAUCCUAAGAAGCAUUUUUUUCUUUUUUCCUUUUCCACUGGAGAAAUAAGAGUUACAUAUUUAUGUUAGAAAAAAGGAUGUUAGCAAACAAGGGGAAGCAACUCUAGUACACAGAACUUAUAGAAGACUUAAUCUUAAAGUAAUGCUGUCAUUAUUUCCAACCAUUGAAAGUGAACAAGGCACAGGCAAUUACCUCUGUCAUGACUGCAACAGAUGUAGGAUCAUGACCACGCCAAACAUAAUCUCUCACCUUCAUUCCCUCUGCAGCUGCCCCUUUCUUGACAGCAUGUAUGGCUACUACAAGAGAAGCACCUAAAGAAAAGCCACUGUUAAGGGGAAAGAUGAAGAAAGAUAAACUAAAGAAACUCUUGAAACAACCCUAUAUCACAAAAUAAUUAUGCAAUGAGUUGUACCUUCAAUGAGGAAUGAACCACCAAUAACCAAAGCCGCAUACUGAAUAUUUGCAGGAGGCUGGAAAGGACAUGCUCACAAAUCAAUAAACCAUAUACCAAAGCAACUGGUAAGAAUCUGGAAGGAGAGAACCAGAGAAGUUCUAAGUUACAUGUGAAGUCCACAAAUUUUGUACUCCAUGAACAAUUGUAGCACCAGAACCAAGACAAAAUAUACCAACGGCAGAAAUCAGAGACCAAACGAAUCUUUCCUUCGAAUAGCCAUAACUGAAGAACACAAAAAUAAAAAUUUCAGAUUAUUCAUAUAGUCUAUGAACAAAAGAAACAAGUUGUAAGCCUCAAUAUGAAUAUCCUUCAUGCAUGUGCCUGUCUGUGAAUUUCCCAAUAGAAAAUGCACAGUUCACUGACUGGUGUAUGUAAUUAAGGGUUCAGGUUGUGUCAGACGAAUCCAUUCUUUUGCAUCCAGAGUGGCAAUGUGAUCAUAAUGAAUUCAUUCCAUGAUUCUGUUCUCAACUGAAACACCAUCCAAUUUGAACUAUCAAUUGAAUUCAAGUGCUUCAUAACCAGUCUAGUACUUGGAUCAAAUCAGGUGAUAACUAAUCCCAUUCUGAAUUCAUAGAAGAAAAGUGCACAGAAGUAUUCACUCCAAGGUGAAAAUCCAAGAUUUAUCCAAAUAAUUAUAAUUUUUCUAUUGAAGGUUUCUCAGACAAAAUGAUGAUGAUGAUGAUGAAAUUGCACAGAAGUAUUCAGUCCAAGGCAUAAGUCCAAGAUUUAUCUAAAUAAUAAUAAUUUUUCUAUUCAAGGUUGCUUAGACAAAAUGAUGAUGAAGAAACAUGUACAAGUACUUUAUAUCUAGAUCAUAGUUGUUAACUUGUAAAACAUAUCAUGUAUCAUUUUUCCAUUUUUCUAUAUUGAAUAUUUUAUCAUAUCGUAUAUAUAUAGUGAAAAAUAAAUAGAAUAAAUAUGUAUACAAGUGCAUAUAUAUUGUAAAUAUAAAGUAAAAAGUAAUAUACAACCAAUUUCAUGAAAGAUAGUAGGAUUUAAAGAAUUAAACUAUGUCAUACCAUAUGAAAACAUUGAAUGCUAGAGUUUUAAAAAGUUCAAUUUAACAAAAUAUAAGUUUAAUAUAAAAUUUCAUCACAAAAUCCAUAAAAACAAACUUCUUAGAUUUUUACAUUUAGGUUUUAGUUCCAAAUUCUACCAAGGCAUAAGUACUUAUAUGUGUUGUUGAUAUAAAUGUCUCUUUGUGCCAUCUCCAAAGUUCCAACUUUUCAUGUUCGUCAUUAUCUCUUCCUCGCCUAAAAAAAACCUAAUAAAUUAAGUAAAAAAUUUUUAUUCACUAAUCACCAUCAUUUUCAUUGUCAAUAUCAAAACCAUCGAAAUGGUCCGAUAUUCAUUAUAAGAACAAAUUUAUUUAACUUCCACUUUGGCCUUUGACAACAUGAAUAUAGCUUUCAUGUAGGAUUAUCUUUACUCUUUCUCUUUUUAUGAUCAAUUUCUAACCUUUUUGUAUAUAUUUCCUUUAACAAAAUACUUUUGCUAAAAAUUAUGAAAAAUAGCUAAAAGUGUAUAUAUCAUUUUAUCAAGCAUUGGAUGAUGUAUCGUAUAUGUAUCAUAAGAUACACUUAAAAUAAGAUACGGGUUGCUAAACGCCUCGUAUCAUAUAUCCUAAGUUUUUAACAACUAUGAUCUAGAUAAAGUUUGAUCCAUAUGCUGAAUGGUGAAGUCAAUGUAAAUAUAACAAAGACAAGAACAUCGAUGCCAAAGGUGACCUCUGAAAUGAAAUACUCACGGGUGGAUAGCAUCUGGAGCACGCCUUGAGCUACUCAGACCAUAUGCAAGAAGAGCCUACAUUGUGAAUAUGUAUUAGUUUCUCUGCAUUCAAUAACUACAAAAUCAACACAAAUGUAAACAAGAGUAAAAGAUAAGAAUGUCAGGAAGAUGAACAAUUAGACUAACAGGAGUACCUGAUUUGCAAAAUCUGCGGCUGAGUGCACAACUUCAGCCAACAUAACAUGGCUAGAGGUUGUUAACCAGACCCCAAACUUGAGAGAAAAGACGAGGAAGUUACACCAUAAUGCAGUUCUGACUGCUCGUUGGCUAGAAUAAACAUGUUAGGCAGAAACAAAAGAAAACAAAAAAGGUCAGAUGGUGAAAAGUGGGAGCUAAAUUUCUGGUCCCUAAUUGCAAAAAAGGCUCAAAAUUCUUGAUAGGUUUGGAUUCAGUGCAGUUCAUUAAUAUGCAGCUUGGAUUGACGUCAUCCACAAUCACUCCACAUCCUAAGAAAGUCACCCAUAAAAUCACACUAGAGGAGAGAAUCAAGAAACAAAGGAAUCAAAAGAAUGAAAAGCUUUCUCUUUCAUGACUGCUUGCAUCAACUAGUUAAUUUACUCUUUUCUUGUAUUAAAUCAAAGAUAAUGUUACAGAAGAUUAAGAAUUUCCAAAACCAUAAAUAUACACACUCCUAAAGGUUUUGUAGCCUAUUUCUGUGAACUGGGACAUUCCAACUAACCCCAUUUUCAUUUUCGGGUUGCUAUAAAAUAGUACCCCAAAAUAAAACAUUCCCAUAAAUCUUUCCUUACUUUCCCAAAACCAAAAUACAUGUACUCCGACUCUUAUUUGCAAGUCAACCACACAAAUGCUCACAUGAUCAAUCAACAAACCAACUUACAGCCCCAAAAAUGGCCAGAAAACAACUCAAUUUACCUGUCCUAUAGUAAGCCCUUAACAUGAACUGAAUAGUCCCAAAAAUGCAAUUCAAUUCAAUUCAAUUUGUUUAUCUUAUGGUAAACUAUUAACAUGAAUCAAAUAGGCCCCAGAAACUUAAUAUACUAUAGUAAGCCAUUAAUAUAGCUCAACUAGGACCCGAAAAUUCAAUUCAAUAUAAUUCCACAGUAAGCUAUAAAAUCCAAUCAUGAUUAGAACAAUAGCAAUAAGGAAACAAUGUAGGUCAAUAAAAGGAACCAAUGAAAACUAAUAAUAUCAAUAUCACCUGUGCUGAUCAUUGAUUUCAAUGUUCUUAACUUCCUUGGCUCUAGUAAAAAAAUCUGUAAAGAUCAAAGAAAGCCAACAUCAACCCACAAAAUGGAAAAAGAAUAAAAAUAAAACCACACCAUUCAUCCACCUUCAAAGAAAAAAAAAUACUCACUACGAUUGAUAUAAUGGCGAUUAGAAUCUAAAGAGGUCCCACAACUGCACAGAAAAUUCCGCAAUAUGGGCCUUGGAGCGAAAAAAAGGGCUCCAUUUUCUGGGAAUUUACAGUAAGAGCUGGGUUGUUGAAGGUUGUGGUUGAAGGAUGGAGAGGAAUGUAGGAAUUGGGAGAGAGUGAGGAGGCGAGAGAGGGGGAAAUGGGAGUAGUGGUGGCGCGUGAGGAGAGCUGGAGAUGGGCUAGGCGUGAAUCGAAGAAGGCAAGAGCCUAUCUUCUUGUUGAUGCUUCUCUGCAUGCUCCUUGCUACUCCACCUCCAUGGAAGCCCUCGUUUCAGAGAUUUCAGGGUUUUGAGCUUUUUGGUUUUGUGAGUUGGAAGGGUUUUUGGAGAAAUGGGAGGAGAGGGGUUUCUGGAAUUGGAACAUGCUUUCUGAUGUGUUUUUCCACUUUUGGGUAAAAAUAAAAAUAAUAAAAUAAAUAAAUUUAUUAUUAUUAUUAUUAUUAUAUUAUGACUCUAUAUGUUCAACUCAAAAUUUAUUUUAUGAUACAAUUUAUUUUAUAAAAUUGAAAAUAUUUAUAUUAUAGAUAAAAUAAAUAUUAUAUAAAAAAUUAUUUGAGAAAAAAGGUAAAAAAGAUGGUAUUUAUGUUGAGGAAAAACUUUCCCAAUUUUAAAUUUUAGGUUUUUUCAUAUAAUAAUUAUAGAAAAAUACUUCAUUAUCUAAAAUACUUCAAAGGUUGGCUUCUCUUGCUACUUAUGUUUUUAUUAUUUAAACAAUGAUUUUUCUUCAAAAAAAAAAAAAAAAACCUACUCUUAAACAUUAUUUUAAACAAUAAAUAUUGUAUAUAAAUAAAAUAAAUAUUGCACAAAAAAUAUAAUAUAUAAGAAUAUUAUAGUUAAAAAUAACUAUAGUACUUUUUUUUUUUGGAUAAAUAUGUAUACAACAUAUUCAUUAUACUAAUUGUAUUUUUAUCAUAAUAUUAUAAAUCAAUACCAAUUUUAACUUAGUUUUAUGUUGUUUGGUUGUGAAUGAGAAAUUUGCCGGAAAGAAAAUUAAAUUUAUUAGGCAUGACCUAAAAGCAAAGAAUAAAAUCCAUUUUAUCCCCUCAACCUUUUGUGUCUCUUACACUUUGUCUCACAUUCAAAAUCCAACGCACUUCAAACUUCUUAAUGGGUAGCACUCAACUUUUUUUUUGGAUAAUUUUUAUUUUCAUUAAAUGGAUGUGCUCCACACGUGAUGUGAUAAGAGGGUAAAAAUGUCAUUUAAAAGAUAUCCAUGGCCCUAAAAUCUAUUCCUUCAUUUUUCUUUUUCUGAAACCUUGAAAUCCUCAAGUCUAAAAAAACACACCUCCUUUAAUCGAUCUUCCUAUUAUGCUGAGACAAUGAGUCUAGCACAUUAUAUGUUGGCAAUUUUGUUUCAAUAUAUUUUGGCUCAUGAAAGUUUUUAAAUAGUGACUUACUCAUCAUUGAAGAUUCAAGGUUGUUGUUGGUUAAACCAUAAAGUUACAGGUAAGUUUAAAAAUGUUUAUUUAGUGGCAAGUUAAAUGAUUAAAGGGUUAAAGUGGAUCAAUAUUUUUUUCAUAAGCUAAAAAUACUUGAAUUAAUGUUUUGGAAAAAACAAGAGACACUUGAGCGGUGGAACCAACACUCAAGUGCUUAUCUAACACUCAAGCUCACAAGGCGUUCGAGCGAUGAUUAAGUGCAUUCAAGUGGUUGUCCCAAAUCUGCUAGAAUAUGGUAGAUUUCUUUUUGAAAUUUUAUAAGUAUUAUUUUUUGGAAAUUCUAUAUAUCGAUCCCUUAGGCCUAUAGGCCUAUAUAAACCCUCUAUUAACCCCUUUUAGGGUUAGACACCUUGAAAGAGUUGACCAACUUAACCUAUCAUUCCUAAUCUCUCAAGAAAAAAUUCAUAAUAUUGAAUUUCGGGUUGUUGGAAGAACUUGCAUCCCCUAAGAGGUUGAGAAGAAUCUACUAAAGCAUUAGAGGUGUUAUGUCGCGGAUGUGGAUCAAGGUAUAGGUGCUAGAGAAUAAGUUUUUAAGGUAAAAUGGUCAAGUAAAUCUGUGUACUUUGACCUGAAAUAGUGGAUUGUAUAUUAAAGGUCUUAGACCUCAUGGUUUUUAUUUCCACAGUUAGUGUUAGGUUUUUCCACAUAAAAAAUUAUUAUGUCUCUUGUUUGAUAUUUGAUUACUUUGAUUAUCCCUAAUAUCUUCAAGUUUUAUUUUGGGAUAAUUUUUCAUCACUUAUAUUGUAUUAUUUAAAAACACCUAUUCCCUCAUCUCCUCUCUCAGGUGUUAUCCUAAUAGACAAAAGGUUUUUUCAAUUGGUAUUAGAGCAAGCUUUUCUAAAUAAAAAUCAUAUUUUUAUUGAUCUUGCAAGUCCAAUAUGGAACAAUCAAGGUCUGAAGCUCCCCUAAAUAGUCCACCCUAUUUCGAUGGGAGUAAUUAUCCCAACUAAAAGGCCCAAAUGAUUUUUUGAAAAUGCAAGGAGAAAAGGUCUACAAUGCAACGAAAUAUGGAUGAAGACUUCAUUGAAACUAUAUGUGAAUGGGAAAUCUACUGAUGAAUUAAAACCCAAAAAAGAAUGGCAUAAAUUAGAUAAUGAAGAAAGUGAUGCCAAUGCUCGGGUUCUCUUUAGCAUAUUCAAUAGGGUAAGUCCUAAUGAGUUUUGCAAGAUAGCCACUUGUAAAGAUGCUAAAAAAGCCUAGGACAUUCUCCAGGUUACUCAUGAAGGCACUUUAGUUGUGAGGUUGGCUAAAUUGCAAAUGUUAACCUUCAGGUUUGAAAGCAUUAAAACGCAAGAGAAUAAAACUUUCUUUGCAUUCUAUGCUGAAUUAAGUGACAUUUUGAACUUCUUUUUUUAACUUAAGAGAACAAAUCCCUGACUUUAAAGUAAGUAGAAAAAUCUUGAGAUCUCUUCUUGAAAGGUUUAAACCUAAGGUCAUCACAAUAGAGGAAAACAAGGAUAUUUACUCCAUGAGGGUUGAUGACCUUGUUGGUUUUUUUCAAAUCUAUGAAAUGACCUUUCUAAACUCUCACAAGCCUAAAGAGUCUACUUUUAAGGAUAAUGAAAUUGAAGAAAAAGAGUUUGAAAAUCAUAAUGAGAUAACUAGGGAUGAACUAGCGUUCAAGGCUAAAUGAUUACUACUCAAAAAGUGCUAUUUCAUAGCUUGUAAUUAACUCUUUUAAACACUUUUAAGUAGUAGUUAUUAUCUUUUAACCCAAUUAACAUAUUAAGGACCCUUGCAAUCAAUUCUAAUCAAAUUGUGUUAAGUUUUGGUGUUUUGAUAACUUUUUGAUCACCAAAGCAAUCCGAGAUUGAGGAGAGUUCUUUGGAAUCCAUAAGUAAAUCCAGAAUACAAGGAGUAUGGGAUCCUGCUCAUUCCACCCGGACGAGAAUCAUAGCUCAUUCCACCCGGGUAGGAAUUCCAUCCGGCUGCCGCUAUUACAUCCGGCUGCUGCCACUUUCCACCCCGGAUGUAUCACAUCCGAAAUUCUGCUGCCGCCGCCAUUCCACCCGGAUGUAUCACAUCCGGAAUUCUGCUGCGUCGUCAUUCCACCUGAAUGUUUCACAUCCGGAAUUUUGAUGCCGGAUGGGAGAGGAGAGCGUUUCAACUUCCCCGGUCACACAUAUCUGGAUCAUCUGAUAGCGCUUACCCGGAGAGUUUCGCAGAUAUUUUGCACAGUGUCGCGGUGUUCUCUUGAAGCUUCCAGAUAUUUGCGACUGACAUUUGAAGAUAUUUUGCUUUAGAUAUUUGAUGUCGAAAUCCCCAAACUCUCCUUGUAACCCACCAAUUAUAGGAUUCCUUAGUUAUUAAGUUUGGAAAAAUGGUGAAUAACCCCUUAUAUAUAGCUUUGUAAUUUCCUUUACAGAGAGAGAUCGAUCAUAUAUCGAUCAUAGAUGUAAUCUGGGAGCUUGUUCUUAGAGACGCAUCCUUUGUACAGUUUUGUAAGGAAGUAAAAUACAAAGCACUUGCUCUGCUUUUCAUAUUUUUGUUUUCUUGUUAUUUUACUUUCUAGCCAAUCAAACUCUGAAGAUUUUUCCUCAGAGGAUGAGAGGCUAGGCUCUUCGUCUCUUGGAGUGAAGAAAGCUGGGUAAAUUUCCACAUGCAUAAAUUGGAAGUUUUGUUGUUUUAGUUUUUAAUGAAGAGAAAGUGUGACCCGUUAAUGGUUUUUAUCUUUUUAGUUAACUUAAAACGCCUUUAAUUCACCUGGGCCAACACUUGAUAAGGCAAGUGGUCUCCAUCCAUUGAGAUACACUAGUUUAUCUCUUGCGAGCCUUUGGGAGGUGGUUUGAAGGUAGGAUUUUCUAGAAUAACCAACACUUGG